rnacentral:lncRNA from 1 species
AGGAGCAGCAACUUCACCAUCUCUGCCGUGGAUUCUGCUCUACCCAAUGCACCUGCCCUAAAGCACAGGAAGUCAGUGGGAAGCCAAGAGCACUGAGACCACUCAGACAGCAGAGGAAGUGUGUAUAACCAGAGCCAUGCUGGGUGACAAGGACAUGACUACAUGGGAGACCAGAGCCCACUGCAGGGCGGGAAGAACUCACCAGUUCACGAACUUCUCUUCCUAGGUUUUGAGACCUCACAAUGGCUACCUGACGGCUUCCAGGCAAAGGGGAAUUCACGAUGUUAAUAAGAGGAGAAACCGGACGAAAGAGCAGGAAAUUCAGAGUCCUGAGGCUUCCUAUUUUGCUGAUCUGAAACCCCCUAAGAAACCAUCUGUCCUGACUACUCCAAGACACUCAACAAACAUCACUUUUGGUUCUUCCCAAGAAUCCUGCCAGUUUGCCAACUGUAUGGAUGUCCAUAGGACCCUGCUGGAAAAGAUGUCCCUAAGCAUCUUGACUGUGAAACUAUAUGUCAGAUGGGUCCCCACUUCUUCACAGAGCAGGGAGGAGGGCAGUUUGCAAUAGGUAGUUUCACUUGGUUCUGUCUACCACCUAAGAUGUGAGCUGUGACUCUGGAGUCCUUGAAAGAUGUAUCUGGGCUUCUUGGAACACAGCAGGCUCCCUGGAUUCUUGAACCUAAUGAGGAUUGAGAUGCUUUGUUUUGAUCUCUGCCCUAAGCCAGGGAUGGUCAAAAUACUCUGGAUUUGUACUUAUGUAGGUAGCUCCAUUUUUAGGCAAAAUUACACAGGGCGACUUAACUGGUGUUGGCACGUCCUGAGGUAGCAUCCCUGGCUGCCCGUGCCCAACCUUGUAAGUCUGUGCCUUGGUUCAUCAGCCCAAAGUGGGACAGGAAAGACUCACUGAGCUCCGUCUUUAAUAACAUUUUAAAAAAUGUUUAAGAA